AUGAACGCUAGCGGCAGGCUUAACACAUGCACGUCGCGGGGCAGCGCGGGAUAGCAAUAUCCUGGCGGCGACCGGCGGAAGGGUGCGUAACGCGUGAGCGACAUGCCCGUUGCCCGGGGACAACCGGUGGAAACGCCGACUAAUCCCCGAUGGGAUAUUGUGCCGCAUGGCACGAUAUUGAAAGUUACGGCGGCGACGGAUUGGCUCGCGUCCGAUUAGCUUGUUGGCGGGGUAACGGCCCACCAAGGCUGCGAUCGGUAGGGGUUCUGAGAGGAAGGCCCCCCACAAUGGGACUGAGACACGGCCCAUACUCCUACGGGAGGCAGCAGUGAGGAAUAUUGGUCAAUGGGCGGAAGCCUGAACCAGCCAUGCCGCGUGCGGGAAGGAGGCCCUAUGGGCUGUGAACCGCUUUUGCCUGGGGGCAAUAAGGGCGUCGCGCACGUCCGAUGAGAGUACCAGGCGAAUAAGCAUCGGCUAACUCCGUG
rnacentral:rRNA from 1 species